AUUUUAGUCAAUUGGAAAUUCAAGGGCAAAACUGGAAUAAGGAAAUCUUAAUGGCAUAAUUGCAAAUUCUGCCAAAACAAGAACCUAUUUGCAGCCACAUGACCGGUGGCAAUUUUGUAAAUAAUAGCAGUGGCAGUUUUGCAAUUACAAGCAAAAGUAAUGGCAGUAUAAUACAGUGGCAAAACUGUAAAUAUUAUGAAACAGAGUGGCAACAAACUGCUCCUUUCUCCUUCCUCGUCCAAUCUGGUUUUCCAAAAACCAGCAGCCCACACUUGAAACCACCAAGUGCAGCAGGUUCAGCAGCCAUCUCCAUGGCUGUUUUCGGCCGAAGGAGCGUCGUUGACACUGCCAGAACCAGCCAGCAGCAGCAUCAAGCUGCCAUUCUCCUGUCGCACAACCAGCAGCCUCGCAUGGCUUUGAUGGCCAUAAAUCUGCAGCAUUUGAGGUGGCUGGACGACGCAUCGCCACCAUGAAGACCACCGGACGUCCAACAUGCAUUCCGAAUGGUCCUUUGGCAGAGCCAAUCUCCAGCAAACGAGCUUCCUUGCUCGAUCUGGAAGACCCUCAAAUGGGUUUCAAAAACAGAAAAAAAAAAUCCCAGAUUUUUCCUUCCUUUUUUUUUAUUUUAUAUUAUUAUAGAUUAAAAUCUAUAAGAAACAAAACCCAAAUCUUCAAAAUUUUCAGAUCCAAAAUUGAGCAGAGGAAAAAAAAAAUUUGGGAGAAACAAUAUAUAAUCACAUGAAUUUAAUACUCAAACUAACACCAACAACAACAAAACAUUUCAUAAUUAAUUAAAAUGGCUCUGAUACCACUGUAAGGAAGCAUUAAUUUUCAAUUAAACAAGAUCAACUUUAACUAAGUAUGGAAUGGUGAUAAUUAAAAUGAAAUUAUUUAUUAAAUUACCUCAAACAGCUUGUGAAAUUUUCUAACCACCGGACCGGGUUGUAGCAAACCACCAGCCGUCCAGAUGUCCGGCCUCUGAUGGUAUCCACACAGACCGGUUGUGAGGAAAUUCUCCAAGACACUCUUAGAGAAUAUUGGGAGUUCUGAGUGCUAGCUCUUUUC
rnacentral:misc_RNA from 1 species